GAAAACAGCAGCCUGGUCUCCCUGCAGUUCUGACUGAAACCAAAUCAGAGACUCUUAGAGCAGGGAGGACUCUCAGAUCUCAUGCAGUCUCUAAUCCAUCAUUUUCCUACUGGGAAAACUGAAGCCCCAGGAGAUAAAGUGCAAGCAGAGAUAGCUGAGAGGUUUUCUCUGGCUCCACCACUUUCUAUGUGUCAAGGCUUAUAAGGAAGGAAAACCACACCCCCCAAAAGACUGCAAUUCAAAGUCUGACACAGACAUGGAUUUUAGAUGUUUCCCAGGCUGUCUGUAUCCAGCAGGAGAGACCCACUAAAACAAACUGUAAUAUAUGAGCUGUCAAAUCAGCGAAUAUAUUUCACUUCCUGACUCACUCCCCCACCGAUGUCGGUUCAGACUUCAGUGCACAAAAGACGGCUCUGGUUCCAGAAAGCAAAGUGUCAAGGCGAUCACCUAGAGUCCUUGUCUGACCAGGACGUCUCCUGGCUUUAGAGACAGAUGGGCUGAUUAUUGGCUCCUGCUGCAGCCCACUCCACACUGUGUCUGCAUAGGACAAAAUAAGUAGUUCUAUAAGGAUACUUCCUACACAGGCAGAUGAAUGGAUCCAUAAAUUCAUGUCACAUCCUGCUAAAGCAGCAUCAACCAAGGAUACCAAUGAGAUGGAAUGUCCAAGCUGAUCACAAAUUGUUACUUCAUGUUAAAAGAACCUAGAUCUGCAAACAGUUAGUUUUACAUAGAUGGUAAUGGUGAAAGGGAGCUGUUGGUGAAGCAUUCCUCCCUCCUUUCAGCAAAGAGAUGUGGACUACAGGUACAGAAGGAAGCAUAAGCUGUCUGAUGCUGCAGCUGCUGCUAUCUGAUCAUCCAAAUCAGACCAUUAGAAAUAAUGCCUGGAAGAAGCUAAACUUCUGGGCUCUGUUUUCCUUGGCACUAUACGUCCUCAUCUUCAUUCCUAGCCAUCUUCCUUUCUGCUGUGGUUCAUAUCCUCUUUCCCCACCUUCCCUUUCUACCUCUUGUUUGGAAAACUGUAAUCAAAUCAACAUGACUACUGACUCUGAAAAGGGUGUGUUAGACAAUCAGGAUAGCUUUGAGAAUUAUAUAACGAAUUUAUCAUACACUUAAAUGGAAAAGCAAGUUGUAUAUAAUAAGGAUUUUCAAUUUCAUGUACUCUUUUCUGUUCAGUUUCAUAUAUGAAAAUGCUAAUUUUAUUUGGUGUUUGUUAAGUUUGAAAAUUUUUUAAAAAAUUAAACUAAAAGGAACAAAAGGUUAUUUCAGUGAACUAUCCCAUUGUUGUCUUAUAUUUGUGAAUUUCCAGAUCAUAACUCUCUUCCCUGGCAUGUAUGUGUGUAUACACAUGCAUACGUACAUAUAUGCAUACAUGUACAUGUAUGUAUACAUAUGUAUAUGUGUACAUAUAACACAUGUAUGUAUGUGUAUAUAUCUAUAAUCUAUAUGCCUCCAUAUAAAUAUUUGAGAGCAAAGGCUAUGCUACUUUUGUAUCUGUAUC